rnacentral:rRNA from 1 species
AUUGAACGCUGGCGGCAGGCCUAACACAUGCAAGUCGAGCGGAUGAAGGGAGCUUGCUCCUGGAUUCAGCGGCGGACGGGUGAGUAAUGCCUAGGAAUCUGCCUGGUAGUGGGGGAUAACGUCCGGAAACGGGCGCUAAUACUGCCUACGUCCUGAGGGAGAAAGUGGGGGAUCUUCGGACCUCACGCUAUCAGAUGAGCCUAGGUCGGAUUAGAUAGUUGGUGGGGUAAAGGCCUACCAAGGCGACGAUCCGUAACUGGUCUGAGAGGAUGAUCAGUCACACUGGAACUGAGACACGGUCCAGACUCCUGCGGUAGGCAGCAGUGGGGAAUAGUGGACAAUGGGCGAAAGCCUGAUCCAGCCAUGCCGCGUGUGUGAAGAAGGUCUUCGGAUUGUAAAGCACUUUAAGUUGGGAGGAAGGGCAGUAAGUUAAUACCUUGCUGUUUUGACGUUACCAACAGAAUAAGCACCGGCUAACUACGUG